GGGUUGUGAGGUUAAGCGACUAAGCGUACACGGUGGAUGCCCUGGCAGUCAGAGGCGAUGAAGGACGUGCUAAUCUGCGAAAAGCGUCGGUAAGGUGAUAUGAACCGUUAUAACCGGCGAUGUCCGAAUGGGGAAACCCAGUGUGAUUCGUCACACUAUCGUUAACUGAAUACAUAGGUUAACGAGGCGAACCGGGGGAACUGAAACAUCUAAGUACCCCGAGGAAAAGAAAUCAACCGAGAUUCCCCCAGUAGCGGCGAGCGAACGGGGAGCAGCCCAGAGUCUGAAUCAGCUUGUGUGUUAGUGGAACGGUCUGGAAAGUCCGACGGUACAGGGUGAUAGUCCCGUACACCAAAAUGCACAGGCUGUGAACUCGAAGAGUAGGGCGGGACACGUGGUAUCCUGUCUGAAUAUGGGGGGACCAUCCUCCAAGGCUAAAUACUCCUGACUGACCGAUAGUGAACCAGUACCGUGAGGGAAAGGCGAAAAGAACCCCGGCGAGGGGAGUGAAAAAGAACCUGAAACCGUGUACGUACAAGCAGUGGGAGCACCUUCGGGUGUGACUGCGUACCUUUUGUAUAAUGGGUCAGCGACUUAUAUUCUGUAGCAAGGUUAACCGUAUAGGGGAGCCGCAGGGAAACCGAGUCUUAACUGGGCGUUAAGUUGCAGGGUAUAGACCCGAAACCCGGUGAUCUAGCCAUGGGCAGGUUGAAGGUUGGGUAACACUAACUGGAGGACCGAACCGACUAAUGUUGAAAAAUUAGCGGAUGACUUGUGGCUGGGGGUGAAAGGCCAAUCAAACCGGGAGAUAGCUGGUUCUCCCCGAAAGCUAUUUAGGUAGCGCCUCGUGAACUCAUCUUCGGGGGUAGAGCACUGUUUCGGCUAGGGGGUCAUCCCGACUUACCAACCCGAUGCAAACUACGAAUACCGAAGAAUGUUAUCACGGGAGACACACGGCGGGUGCUAACGUCCGUCGUGAAGAGGGAAACAACCCAGACCGCCAGCUAAGGUCCCAAAGUCAUGGUUAAGUGGGAAACGAUGUGGGAAGGCACAGACAGCCAGGAUGUUGGCUUAGAAGCAGCCAUCAUUUAAAGAAAGCGUAAUAGCUCACUGGUCGAGUCGGCCUGCGCGGAAGAUGUAACGGGGCUAAACCAUGCACCGAAGCUGCGGCAGCGACACUAUGUGUUGUUGGGUAGGGGAGCGUUCUGUAAGCCUGCGAAGGUGACCUGUGAGGGUUGCUGGAGGUAUCAGAAGUGCGAAUGCUGACAUAAGUAACGAUAAAGCGGGUGAAAAGCCCGCUCGCCGGAAGACCAAGGGUUCCUGUCCAACGUUAAUCGGGGCAGGGUGAGUCGACCCCUAAGGCGAGGCCGAAAGGCGUAGUCGAUGGGAAACAGGUUAAUAUUCCUGUACUUGGUGUUACUGCGAAGGGGGGACGGAGAAGGCUAUGUUAGCCGGGCGACGGUUGUCCCGGUUUAAGCAUGUAGGCUGGUUAUCCAGGCAAAUCCGGAUAAUCAAGGCUGAGGUGUGAUGACGAGGUACUACGGUACUGAAGUAACAAAUGCCCUGCUUCCAGGAAAAGCCUCUAAGCAUCAGGUAACAUCAAAUCGUACCCCAAACCGACACAGGUGGUCAGGUAGAGAAUACCAAGGCGCUUGAGAGAACUCGGGUGAAGGAACUAGGCAAAAUGGUGCCGUAACUUCGGGAGAAGGCACGCUGGUGUGUAGGUGAAGUCCCUGCGGAUGGAGCUGAGACCAGUCGAAGAUACCAGCUGGCUGCAACUGUUUAUUAAAAACACAGCACUGUGCAAACACGAAAGUGGACGUAUACGGUGUGACGCCUGCCCGGUGCCGGAAGGUUAAUUGAUGGGGUUAUCCGUAAGGAGAAGCUCUUGAUCGAAGCCCCGGUAAACGGCGGCCGUAACUAUAACGGUCCUAAGGUAGCGAAAUUCCUUGUCGGGUAAGUUCCGACCUGCACGAAUGGCGUAAUGAUGGCCAGGCUGUCUCCACCCGAGACUCAGUGAAAUUGAACUCGCUGUGAAGAUGCAGUGUACCCGCGGCAAGACGGAAAGACCCCGUGAACCUUUACUAUAGCUUGACACUGAACAUUGAGCCUUGAUGUGUAGGAUAGGUGGGAGGCUUUGAAGCGUGGACGCCAGUCUGCGUGGAGCCAACCUUGAAAUACCACCCUUUAAUGUUUGAUGUUCUAACGU
rnacentral:rRNA from 1 species